rnacentral:rRNA from 1 species
UACGAAGGGGGCUAGCGUUGCUCGGAAUGACUGGGCGUAAAGGGCGCGUAGGCGGUUUGGACAGUCAGAUGUGAAAUUCCUGGGCUCAACCUGGGGGCUGCAUUUGAUACGUUCGGACUAGAGUGGGGAAGAGGGUCGUGGAAUUCCGGGUGUAGCGGUGAAAUGCGUAGAUAUCCGGAGGAACACCGGUGGCGAAGGCGGCUUCCUGGACCGACACUGACGCUGAGGCGCGAAAGCUAGGGGAGCAAACGGG